rnacentral:rRNA from 1 species
UGUAUAAUGGGUCAGCGACUUAUAUUCUGUAGCAAGGUUAACCGAAUAGGGGAGCCGAAGGGAAACCGAGUCUUAACUGGGCGUUAAGUUGCAGGGUAUAGACCCGAAACCCGGUGAUCUAGCCAUGGGCAGGUUGAAGGUUGGGUAACACUAACUGGAGGACCGAACCGACUAAUGUUGAAAAAUUAGCGGAUGACUUGUGGCUGGGGGUGAAAGGCCAAUCAAACCGGGAGAUAGCUGGUUCUCCCCGAAAGCUAUUUAGGUAGCGCCUCGUGAAUUCAUCUCCGGGGGUAGAGCACUGUUUCGGCAAGGGGGUCAUCCCGACUUACCAACCCGAUGCAAACUGCGAAUACCGGAGAAUGUUAUCACGGGAGACACACGGCGGGUGCUAACGUCCGUCGUGAAGAGGGAAACAACCCAGACCGCCAGCUAAGGUCCCAAAGUCAUGGUUAAGUGGGAAACGAUGUGGGAAGGCCCAGACAGCCAGGAUGUUGGCUUAGAAGCAGCCAUCAUUUAAAGAAAGCGUAAUAGCUCACUGGUCGAGUCGGCCUGCGCGGAAGAUGUAACGGGGCUAAACCAUGCACCGAAGCUGCGGCAGCGACACUAUGUGUUGUUGGGUAGGGGAGCGUUCUGUAAGCCUGUGAAGGUGGCCUGUGAGGGUUGCUGGAGGUAUCAGAAGUGCGAAUGCUGACAUAAGUAACGAUAAAGCGGGUGAAAAGCCCGCUCGCCGGAAGACCAAGGGUUCCUGUCCAACGUUAAUCGGGGCAGGGUGAGUCGACCCCUAAGGCGAGGCCGAAAGGCGUAGUCGAUGGGAAACAGGUUAAUAUUCCUGUACUUGGUGUUACUGCGAAGGGGGGACGGAGAAGGCUAUGUUGGCCGGGCGACGGUUGUCCCGGUUUAAGCGUGUAGGCUGGUUUUCCAGGCAAAUCCGGAAAACCAAGGCUGAGGCGUGAUGACGAGGCACUACGGUGCUGAAGCGACAAAUGCCCUGCUUCCAGGAAAAGCCUCUAAGCAUCAGGUAACAUCAAAUCGUACCCCAAACCGACACAGGUGGUCAGGUAGAGAAUACCAAGGCGCUUGAGAGAACUCGGGUGAAGGAACUAGGCAAAAUGGUGCCGUAACUUCGGGAGAAGGCACGCUGAUAUGUAGGUGAAGCGACUUGCUCGUGGAGCUGAAAUCAGUCGAAGAUACCAGCUGGCUGCAACUGUUUAUUAAAAACACAGCACUGUGCAAACACGAAAGUGGACGUAUACGGUGUGACGCCUGCCCGGUGCCGGAAGGUUAAUUGAUGGGGUUAGCGGCAACGCGAAGCUCUUGAUCGAAGCCCCGGUAAACGGCGGCCGUAACUAUAACGGUCCUAAGGUAGCGAAAUUCCUUGUCGGGUAAGUUCCGACCUGCACGAAUGGCGUAAUGAUGGCCAGGCUGUCUCCACCCGAGACUCAGUGAAAUUGAACUCGCUGUGAAGAUGCAGUGUACCCGCGGCAAGACGGAAAGACCCCGUGAACCUUUACUAUAGCUUGACACUGAACAUUGAGCCUUGAUGUGUAGGAUAGGUGGGAGGCUUUGAAGUGUGGACGCCAGUCUGCAUGGAGCCGACCUUGAAAUACCACCCUUUAAUGUUUGAUGUUCUAACGUUGGCCCGUAAUCCGGGUUGCGGACAGUGUCUGGUGGGUAGUUUGACUGGGGCGGUCUCCUCCUAAAGAGUAACGGAGGAGCACGAAGGUUGGCUAAUCCUGGUCGGACAUCAGGAGGUUAGUGCAAUGGCAUAAGCCAGCUUGACUGCGAGCGUGACGGCGCGAGCAGGUGCGAAAGCAGGUCAUAGUGAUCCGGUGGUUCUGAAUGGAAGGGCCAUCGCUCAACGGAUAAAAGGUACUCCGGGGAUAACAGGCUGAUACCGCCCAAGAGUUCAUAUCGACGGCGGUGUUUGGCACCUCGAUGUCGGCUCAUCACAUCCUGGGGCUGAAGUAGGUCCCAAGGGUAUGGCUGUUCGCCAUUUAAAGUGGUACGCGAGCUGGGUUUAGAACGUCGUGAGACAGUUCGGUCCCUAUCUGCCGUGGGCGCUGGAGAACUGAGGGGGGCUGCUCCUAGUACGAGAGGACCGGAGUGGACGCAUCACUGGUGUUCGGGUUGUCAUGCCAAUGGCACUGCCCGGUAGCUAAAUGCGGAAGAGAUAAGUGCUGAAAGCAUCUAAGCACGAAACUUGCCCCGAGAUGAGUUCUCCCUGACUCCUUGAGAGUCCUGAAGGAACGUUGAAGACGACGACGU